CUUUUAGCAUGAUCCAAGUAACGAUACGUAAAUGUAAUGUUAUUCCAUAAAUGGUUCUACUCUUAGCAGUUAAGGAUUUAUCUUUUCAAGUCUUUCCAUCCUUCCAAUAGUUUUGUGGAAGUAUAAUUGUGUGUUGUAAACAUAUUAUGCUCCAGUUAUCAAGAAGAGGUAAUUAAGAAAAUGAAGGAGAUUUUCUUUUAUAGGUUGCAGGUAUUAAUGUAUAUGAUUAGCAUUUAUGAGCCAUCACAAAUGGAAGCUAAGAAAUUUUUAAGUAUAGGAUAUGGUUCUGGACAAUUUUGGCAAUUUAAAACAUGAAUUAUUAACAAACAAAGGAAGUGCAAUAUAUUGAUACUUGUUUUAUCUUCGUAGAAUGCCUUUAUUCCUCUUAGAUAAAUGGAGAAGUAUGUCAAGAUAAUGUACGAAUGUGUGUAGUAUUGUAACUAAGGUAAUAGGAAUAACAAAUAGAUCUUUGCACAUAAACAUCAAAUAACCCUUUGUAAACUAAAUUGUUUUGAUUAACCUGUUAAGCUAUUAUGUCACAUAGCAAUUGUGUCUCUGUGUCCAUAUGUGUGUGUGUUUCGGGAAACAUGACCACAACUUUAUGACCCAGUGAAUAUUGAAAUAAUAUUUUUUGAAUUAUCGGAAGUAAUUUGUAUAGCUUUUAAGAUAAUUCAGAUAAGCACGUUGGAUUUCUGAUAUUCAAGCAUGUCUAAGUAUGUUCCUAAGUCUCUAUUAAGGUAUUUAAUAAAGAUGGUAAUGUUCAUAAUAUAGUAAUACAUGCAUAUGCAUUUACCACCGAGCUACGGCCGGUUGGGCAGUUACAUAUUUACUAUCGUGCUACGGCCGGUCGGGCAGUUAACACCAGUUGGGCAGUUAUGUAUCAUUAUUUACCACCGGUUGGGCAAUCACAUAUUUACUUUCGAGCUAUGGCCGGUCGGGCAGUCAUAUAUUUACUAUCGUGCUACGGCCUGUCGGGCAGUUACCACUGAUCAGUUGGGCAGUUAACAUCACGAAAAUGAGGUGUAGAUAGGCGAGGUGAGGAUCAUCUAUUGUAGGCUGCCUCCAGAUAUCAGCUUUUGGUUGGUGAGCUCCACAUCAUCCUAGAGUAUUGCCGAGUCAGGUUCUAUAUAUGUUACUUUGUUUUAUAAGGAUGUCAAGGACCCUGUCCCGACUUAUAUGUUAUGGUCAUGUUUUCUUAGAGGUUUUGAAGAAAGUGCCCUGUGUAUAGCUUUAGGUAUGACAUGUCAACGGUCUCGUCGGCCCCUAUGUAUCUAUAUAAAUCAUUUUGAAUUAGUUACGUGAGUUAAGUUCUAAUAUUGUUAAUUACAUAUAGAUGUGGCCUAUCAUGGCCCAUGACGAGAUUUAUAGAAAAAAGGGAAUAAGGUACGUGGUGCUCGGCUAAGUAGACACCGGAUGCCAGUCGUGGCCCUCUGAUAUGGGUCAUGAUAUGGUCCUUCAUGGACCCUAUUUGGACUGAGGUCAGCCGUUGAGUAGGUCCGUUGAGGUCGUCCUCGUCGGCUCUUACCUCAUCACAGUAGGCAUUGUGUAUCUUGUCCCAAGUGGUCAGAGGUAUUUCAUGAGGCGGCUUAGCAACUUUUUGGUCGCCCUUGACCCACUUAUUCUUAGCCCAUUUUGGAAAGCGGCUACCGCCAUCCUUUCAUAUACAUUUGGAAGGGUCAUUCUUAUACGGUUGAAUCGGGCAAGGAAGCCUUGGAGUCCCUCGCCAGGCGAUUGCUUAAUGGCAAAUAUGUCGUUCACCCUCGCCUGGGCUUUCUUAGCCCCGGCAUGGGCAGUGACGAACUUGUCUGCCAUCUCCUUGAAUGUUUUUAUGGAAUGCGCAUGUAGCUAUGAGUACCAAGUCAGCGCUCCCCUAGUUAGGGUUUCGCUAAAUUUCUUCAGCAAUAUGGACGACACUUGUUCUUUGGCGAGGUCAUUGCCUUUCACUGCAGUGACAUAGUGGGUCACAUGAUCCUCAGGGUCCAUCGUGACGUCGCAUAUUUUCAGGUACAAAUGCAUUUUGAAGGUUUUGGGUAUUGCGUGUGGUGGAACUUCGUUGUUGUAUGGUUGCUCAACAAACCGACCGACGUCCCUUUUUGGAAGAAGUUUUGGGGCGCCUGGUAUUUUGUCUACCCUUUCCUGAUGCUCUUUCAUUUGGUUACGGAGCAUUUUAUUCUCGUUCUACAUCUCUUCCAUUUUCCUCAUAUUGGUUGUGAGGGUGUUGUUACCAGCACCAAUAACAUUGUGAGUAAUACCUAUUACGGAGGGGGCAUGUUGCUCGUCAGCUGGUGGUGCAACGCAAACCCCUGCCUCUUCCCGGUUCGGCCAUUAAGAGGGCUCGACAAGGAAACUGGUUAACGUGUUUGUCAACCACGCCUCGAGCAAUUUUUUUACUGUCGCUGGUGCCUCUUCUGUUGUAGAUGUAGAGGCCCAUUUACCGUGCGAGGUCGUGAUGCUACCAUGAGGAGGAGGCGAGCUGUUUUGCCUGAGAGAGGUGUUUGGUGUCACCUCCUUGCCCUCUGUUUCAUUUGCUUUGUUGAUGGUAUGGAGGAGGUUGGUGGUGAGGUCAGCUAUCGCCUCCCUUUUUUCCUCUUUGUUGCCUUUCAUGUUAGAUUUGUGCACAAAAGGAAGUAUAGGGUUUUAGCAUUGUUUUUUUUUCGAUCUAGAAGAAACUAAAAUUUUAACUAGAAAAUGCCCACAUACGGCACCAAAUUAUUUUACCAAAAAGUACGAAACAUUUUCUUAAGUUAAUUAAAUAAGAGGAUGAUGGGUAAAUCCUAGUUAAACAUAAUAAAUCCUAGAUUUGAAAUAUAUUUAUACAAAUAACGUAGAAUUGCAUUUAAACUAAUUUAAUACAAUGGGUAUUAAAUGAUACUGCUACAAGUGAGUAGGAGGACAAUGAUAAGAAAUAAAUAUAUUAAAUGGCAAUAAAUGUAAAUUGAGAGAAUGAUUCACCCAAAUAUUGAAUGAGGUGGAUGAUUCUUCUCUCUGACAAUGAUGCAAGACAAAUUAACGUGGGAAUAUAGAGAGCUUUCUCGGAUUUGAUGCGAGAAAGUGUGGGAUAAACAACAAAUUGAAUUUUUAUGGAAAGGCAAUUCUUGUAAUUUACUUCAGAGUCAACUUUUCAUGAGAGUUCUUAUCAUAUAGAAUAAUACAUAUCCCUUUUUUUUUCUACCCUUUUCUUUAUAUGGGAUAUAUCCAUUAUCUAACAUAAAGUACAAGUGCAGAGAAUAUUCAACUAAAUAUUCUCCUAAAAUAUCCUGCUACGAAACUAGCUGUUAUGACCGACCAGAUUAUUCGACCUCGACCUCGGUUACUUAGCUCGCCAAUAAGUUCCUUCCAUCUCGAGUACGACCUCGGUCUAAUCGGCUCUUAGCAAUCUACCUUUGAGCAAGAUUCCCUUGGUUAGAUUUUGAUCCAUACACUAUUUUUGUUAUAUUUCUUCAUUGUAUCAUUUUCAUUAUUUUUCAUUUUCAUAAUGUCAUAUAUAUCUGUUCGGUUUUCUUUUUUAUUUCAGUAGGGUCUUGACCUGACCUCAUAAUUAUUCUACCGAGGAUAGGCUUGAUACUUACUGGUUACUACUGUUGUUUACUCAUGCUAUGCCUUCUUCACAUCUUUUUGUGCAGAUCUAGGUAUCUCUUACCAGCCUAGACACCAGUGAGUCGAGCUCGGAUUUGGAGACUUCAAGGUAUACUUGUCGGAGUCCGCAGAACUUGGAGUCAUCCUCUAUAUAGAUCUUUCUUCUUUUAUUAGAUAUUGUUAUAUUUGGAUGUUCAGUAUACUCUUGUAGAGCUUGUGACUUGGUAUCACCGGAUUUUGGGAGUUUUGUAUUGUUGAGUUGUGAAGUCCUUUUUAUGAUAGUUGGUGGUUAAUUUGAAAA